rnacentral:rRNA from 1 species
AUUGAACGCUGGCGGCAGGCCUAACACAUGCAAGUCGAGCGGAUGAAGGGAGCUUGCUCCUGGAUUCAGCGGCGGACGGGUGAGUAAUGCCUAGGAAUCUGCCUGGUAGUGGGGGAUAACGUCCGGAAACGGGCGCUAAUACCGCAUACGUCCUGAGGGAGAAAGUGGGGGAUCUUCGGACCUUACGCUAUCAGAUGAGCCUAGGACGGAUUAGCUAGUUGGUGGGGUAAAGGCCUACCAAGGCGACGAUCCGUAACUGGUCUGAGAGGAUGAUCAGUCACACUGGAACUGAGACACGGUCCAGACUCCUACGGGAGGCAGCAGUGGGGAAUAUUGGACAAUGGGCGAAAGCCUGAUCCAGCCAUGCCGCGUGUGUGAAGAAGGUCUUCGGAUUGUAAAGCACUUUAGGUUGGGAGGAAGGGCAGUAGGUUAAUACCUUGCUGUUUUGACGUUACCAACAGAAUAAGCACCGGCUAACUUCGUG